rnacentral:rRNA from 1 species
AUUGAACGCUGGCGGCAGGCUUAACACAUGCAAGUCGAGCGGGGUGAUGGUGCUUGCACUAUCACUUAGCGGCGGACGGGUGAGUAAUGCUUAGGAAUCUGCCUAUUAGUGGGGGACAACACCUCGAAAGGGAUGCUAAUACCGCAUACGUCCUACGGGAGAAAGCAGGGGAUCACUUGUGACCUUGCGCUAAUAGAUGAGCCUAAGUCGGAUUAGCUAGUUGGUGGGGUAAAGGCCUACCGAGGCGACGAUCUGUAGCGGGUCUGAGAGGAUGAUCCGCCACACUGGGACUGAGACACGGCCCAGACUCCUACGGGAGGCAGCAGUGGGGAAUAUUGGACAAUGGGGGGAACCCUGAUCCAGCCAUGCCGCGUGUGUGAAGAAGGCCUUAUGGUUGUAAAGCACUUUAAGCGAGGAGGAGGCUCUUUUGGUUAAUACCCAAGAUGAGUGGACGUUACUCGCAGAAUAAGCACCGGCUAACUCUGUGCCAGCAGCCGCUGUAA